rnacentral:rRNA from 1 species
CCUACGGGAGGCAGCAGUGGGGAAUAUUGCACAAUGGGCGAAAGCCUGAUGCAGCGACGCCGCGUGAGGGAUGACGGCCUUCGGGUUGUAAACCUCUUUCAGCAGGGAAGAAGCGAGAGUGACGGUACCUGCAGAAGAAGCGCCGGCUAACUACGUGCCAGCAGCCGCGGUAAUACGUAGGGCGCAAGCGUUGUCCGGAAUUAUUGGGCGUAAAGAGCUCGUAGGCGGCUUGUUGCGUCGGUUGUGAAAGCCCGGGGCUUAACCCCGGGUCUGCAGUCGAUACGGGCAGGCUAGAGUGUGGUAGGGGAGAUCGGAAUUCCUGGUGUAGCGGUGAAAUGCGCAGAUAUCAGGAGGAACACCGGUGGCGAAGGCGGAUCUCUGGGCCAUUACUGACGCUGAGGAGCGAAAGCGUGGGGAGCGAACAGGAUUAGAUACCCUGGUAGUCCACGCCGUAAACGUUGGGAACUAGGUGUUGGCGACAUUCCACGUCGUCGGUGCCGCAGCUAACGCAUUAAGUUCCCCGCCUGGGGAGUACGGCCGCAAGGCUAAAACUACAAAGAAUUGACG